UACAGAGGGUGCGAGCGUUAAUCGGAAUUACUGGGCGUAAAGCGUGCGUAGACGGUUAUGUAAGUCAGAUGUGAAAGCCCCGGGCUCAACCUGGGAACCGCGCUUGAGACUGGCACGCUCGAGUUCGGGAGAGGAUGGUGGAAUUCCCAGUGUAGAGGUGAAAUUCGUAGAUAUUGGGAAGAACACCGAUGGCGAAGGCAGCCAUCUGGACCGACACUGACGCUGAGGCGCGAAAGCGUGGGGAGCAAACAGG
rnacentral:rRNA from 1 species